GUGGCGUGCUUAACACAUGCAAGUCGAACGGAAAGGCCCUGCUUUUGUGGGGUGCUCGAGUGGCGAACGGGUGAGUAACACGUGAGUAACCUGCCCUUGACUUUGGGAUAACUUCAGGAAACUGGGGCUAAUACCGGAUAGGAGCUCCUGCUGCAUGGUGGGGGUUGGAAAGUUUCGGCGGUUGGGGAUGGACUCGCGGCUUAUCAGCUUGUUGGUGGGGUAGUGGCUUACCAAGGCUUUGACGGGUAGCCGGCCUGAGAGGGUGACCGGCCACAUUGGGACUGAGAUACGGCCCAGACUCCUACGGGAGGCAGCAGUGGGGAAUAUUGCACAAUGGGCGGAAGCCUGAUGCAGCAACGCCGCGUGCGGGAUGACGGCCUUCGGGUUGUAAACCGCUUUCGCCUGUGACGAAGCGUGAGUGACGGUAAUGGGUAAAGAAGCACCGGCUAACUACGUGCCAGCAGCCGCGGUGAUACGUAGGGUGCGAGCGUUGUCCGGAUUUAUUGGGCGUAAAGGGCUCGUAGGUGGUUGAUCGCGUCGGAAGUGUAAUCUUGGGGCUUAACCCUGAGCGUGCUUUCGAUACGGGUUGACUUGAGGAAGGUAGGGGAGAAUGGAAUUCCUGGUGGAGCGGUGGAAUGCGCAGAUAUCAGGAGGAACACCAGUGGCGAAGGCGGUUCUCUGGGCCUUUCCUGACGCUGAGGAGCGAAAGCGUGGGGAGCGAACAGGCUUAGAUACCCUGGUAGUCCACGCUGUAAACGGUGGGUACUAGGUGUGGGGUCCAUUCCACGGGUUCCGUGCCGUAGCUAACGCUUUAAGUACCCCGCCUGGGGAGUACGGCCGCAAGGCUAAAACUCAAAGGAAUUGACGGGGCCCCGCACAAGCGGCGGAGCAUGCGGAUUAAUUCGAUGCAACGCGUAGAACCUUACCUGGGUUUGACAUGGAUCGGGAGUGCUCAGAGAUGGGUGUGCCUCUUUUGGGGUCGGUUCACAGGUGGUGCAUGGCUGUCGUCAGCUCGUGUCGUGAGAUGUUGGGUUAAGUCCCGCAACGAGCGCAACCCUUGUUCACUGUUGCCAGCACGUUAUGGUGGGGACUCAGUGGAGACCGCCGGGGUCAACUCGGAGGAAGGUGGGGAUGACGUCAAGUCAUCAUGCCCCUUAUGUCCAGGGCUUCACGCAUGCUACAAUGGCUGGUACAGAGAGUGGCGAGCCUGUGAGGGUGAGCGAAUCUCGGAAAGCCGGUCUCAGUUCGGAUUGGGGUCUGCAACUCGACCUCAUGAAGUCGGAGUCGCUAGUAAUCGCAGAUCAGCAACGCUGCGGUGAAUACGUUCCCGGGGCUUGUACACACCGCCCGUCAAGCCAUGAAAGUUGGUAACACCCGAAGCCGGUGGCCUAACCAUUGUGGGGGAGCCGUCGAAGGUGGGACUGGU
rnacentral:rRNA from 1 species